UACAGAGGGUGCGAGCGUUAAUCGGAUUUACUGGGCGUAAAGCGCGCGUAGGUGGUUAAUUAAGUCAAAUGUGAAAUCCCCGAGCUUAACUUGGGAAUUGCAUUCGAUACUGGUUAGCUAGAGUGCGGUAGAGGAUGGCGGAAUUCCCGGUGUAGCGGUGAAAUGCGUAGAGAUCGGGAGGAACAUCCGUGGCGAAGGCAGCCAUCUGGCCUAAUACUGACACUGAGGUGCGAAAGCAUGGGGAGCAAACAGG
rnacentral:rRNA from 1 species